rfam:Felis catus isolate Cinnamon breed Abyssinian chromosome C1, whole genome shotgun sequence.
GCCUGGAUGGCUCAGUCCGUUAAGCAUCCGACUUCAGCUCAGGUCAUGAUCUUGUGGUUCGUGGGUUCAAGCCCCAUGUCAGGCU